CGGAAUAGUGGCAAACGGGUGAGUAACACGUAAGUAACCUGCCCUUAAGUGGGGAAUAACCCCGGGAAACCGGAGCUAAUACCGCAUGUGGUGAUGGAGGUAAAGCUUCAUCAUUAAAGCCUUCGGGCGCUUGAGGAUGGGCUUGCGUCUGAUUAGCUAGUUGGUAGGGUAAUGGUCUACCAAGGCUAAGAUCAGUAGCUGGUCUGAGAGGAUGAUCAGCCACACUGGGACUGAGACACGGCCCAGACUCC
rnacentral:rRNA from 1 species